UGAGGAAUUUUGCGCAAUGGGCGAAAGCCUGACGCAGCAACGCCGCGUGGGGGAUGAAGGCCCUCGGGUUGUAAACCCCUUUUCUCUGGGAAGACAUCGACGGUACCAGAGGAAUAAGCCACGGCUAACUACGUGCCAGCAGCCGCGGUAAUACGUAGGUGGCAAGCGUUGUCCGGAUUUACUGGGCGUAAAGGGCUCGUAGGCGGCUUAGCAAGUCUGUGGUGAAAUCUCCCGGCUUAACCGGGAGGGGUCUAUGGAUACUGCUGGGCUUGAGUGUCGUAGAGGAAGGCGGAAUUCCCGGUGUAGUGGUGAAAUGCGUAGAUAUCGGGAGGAACACCAGUGGCGAAAGCGGCCUUCCAGCCGACAACUGACGCUGAGGAGCGAAAGCGUGGGGAGCGAACCGG
rnacentral:rRNA from 1 species